AACUGCACAAUGCUGGAAACAGCGAUGCGGGAACACCAAGUGCCGGCACAAAGUGUCGGCUGUUCCAUUGUCUAAAAAACAUAGGAAGUAAGGGCUGGGUAAGACGGGCGCCAGCCGCCGCGGUAAUACCUGCAGCCCGAGUGGUGGCCGUUAUUAUUGGGCCUAAAACGUCCGUAGCCUGUUUGGUAGAUGCCUGUGUAAAUCGAACGGCUUAACCGUUCGAACUGCGGGUAGACCGCCAGACUUGGGACCGGGAGAGUCACGAAGUACUCCGGGGGUAGAGGUGAAAUUCUGUAAUCCUCGGGGGACUACCGGUGGCGAAGGCGUCGUGAUAGAACGGCUCCGACGGUGAGGGACGAAGCCCUGGGGCGCAAACCGGAUUAGAUACCCGGGUAGUCCAGGGUGUAAACGCUGCGGUCUUGGUGUCGGGAGUCCUACGGGGGCACUCGGUGCCGGAGAGAAGUUGUUAAGAUCGCUGCCUGGGGAGUACGGCCGCAAGGUUGAAACUUAA
rnacentral:rRNA from 1 species